rnacentral:rRNA from 1 species
GAUCAUGGCUCAGGAUGAACGCUGGCGGCGUGCUUAACACAUGCAAGUCGAACGGGAAUUACAUUUAGCUUGCUAAGUUGUAAUUCUAGUGGCGGACGGGUGAGUAACGCGUGGGUAACCUGCCUUAUACCGGGGGACAACAGUUGGAAACGACUGCUAAUACCGCAUAAGCGCACGGGAAGGCAUCUUUCUGUGUGAAAAAACUCCGGUGGUAUAAGAUGGACCCGCGUCUGAUUAGCCAGUUGGCGGUGUAACGGACCACCAAAGCGACGAUCAGUAGCCGGCCUGAGAGGGCAAACGGCCACAUUGGGACUGAGACACGGCCCAAACUCCUACGGGAGGCAGCAGUGGGGAAUAUUGCACAAUGGAGGAAACUCUGAUGCAGCGACGCCGCGUGAGUGAAGAAGUAUUUCGGUAUGUAAAGCUCUAUCAGCAGGAAAGAAAAUGACGGUACCUGACUAAGAAGCCCCGGCUAACUACGUGCCAGCCGCCGC